rnacentral:lncRNA from 1 species
CUGAAAGUCACCCAGACACAGAGAUGGAGUGUUUCAAAAAGAGAACCAUAAGUGUGGAAUAGCAAGGACAAGAAGAGAAACAGGAAGUGAAACAAGGGUAGGAGGAGGAGAGCAGGACAGAAAAUGACAUUUUCGUAAGCAACUACUGUUGGUUUUGGCAAACCAGCAGUUCUUGAGCAUCCUAGCUGAGCUUUUCUCUCUGUUUUGGUGUUAUUGUAUGGUGAUGGUUUAGUGGCUACCUCAGUUAAAUCUUCAAGGUAUUACUGAGUAAGCGUGGGAUAUUCAUAAACUUAGGUAAAGCAAGGUAAUAAUUUAGAAUGUUAGAUAAGGCAGGAUUUUGUAGUUUUGCUGUUAAGCAGUAUUUUUGUUGUUGUUGCUGUUUCCCCAAUAGAUCCAGCUGCGUGCAAACUCCAGAAAGUAUUUUUUAAUCAAGUUAAUUUAACACCUCUGGAGUUUAGCUUGUGGGUCUACCUAGAGAAUCAAGUGAACUGCUGCUGUAGGACAACUGGAGUCUGUUCAUAGAAUCCGUCAAUCUAGUACUUCCCACACGUGUUUAUCCUUUGAUAGUGGUUGUACUUUUUGCCAUGACUCUCUAAAUCUAGAGUGAAUAGAG